rnacentral:rRNA from 1 species
UACGUAGGGGGGCCAGCGUUUGUCCGGAAUCAUUGGGCGUAAAGCGCGCGUAGGCGGCCAGAUAAGUCCGGUGUGAAAGUCAAAGGCUCAACCUUUGAAUGCCGCUGGAAACUGCCUGGCUUGAGUCCGGAAGGGGCGAGUGGAAUUCCUGGUGUAGCGGUGAAAUGCGCAGAUAUCAGGAGGAACACCAAUGGCGAAGGCAGCUCGCUGGAACGGUACUGACGCUGAGGCGCGAAAGCGUGGGGGAGCGAACAGG